GAUGAAACUAAGUAUACUAGUCUUAAUAUUUUUAAAAAGAAAAAAAAUAUUUCUUAAUGAUAUUCUGCUAUACUCAUAGAUCAGUGUAUUAUCUGGUCAUCAUAGGACAGAUUUCCUCCAACUGCAGAAGGAAAUACAUGCUGAGACCCACAGGAAGACAUUAUGUGUAGAGAAAACCUAAAUAGGUGGUUUCUAUCAGAUCCCUCCCCUCAGAGCUCAGGGAAUCCUGCAGAAGGGGAGGUAGAAAGAUUUUAAGAUUCAAAGGUGGUGGAAGACACCAGGAGAAGAAGGCCCUCUGAAUCAACUAGACCACACAGAAACUGAAGCUGCAAGCACAGAGCCUAAAUAGGCCUACACUAGAAACAACUACAACUAACAUCAGCUGGACUUCAUACUUGAGUAGUUGUGGUGUGAUAAUACAUUCAGUGUGUGUCCCAAGGCACUAUGGUCC
rnacentral:lncRNA from 1 species